rnacentral:tRNA from 1 species
GCCGGGGUGACGAAAUUGGCAGACGUAACAGCCUUAGAAGCUGUCGGCCGCAAGGCCAUGGAGGUUCAAGUCCUCUCCCCGGCA